UUGCACCGAAGGUGUCUCAGUUUGAAAUACAAGAUGCGCAUUUUUGUGCAAAUUUUUUGGAUCUUUCGUUUUAAGAUAGGCGUUGAUUGCUUAAAACAGCUGGAGUGUGAUGAUGGAAGUCGAAAUCCGCUAAGGAGUGUGUAACAACUCACCUGCCGAAGCAACUAGCCCUUAAAAUGGAUGGCGCUUAAGUUGUAUACCUAUACAUUACCGCUAAAGUAGAUGAUUUAUAUUACUUGUGAUAUAAAUUUUGAGACUUUAGUGAGUAGGAAGGUACAAUGGUAUGCGUAGAAGUGUUUGGCGUACGCCUGCAUGGAGCUGCCAUUGGUACAGAUCUUGGUGGUAGUAGCAAAUAAUCGAAUGAGACCUUGGGAGGACUGAAGUGGAGAAAGGGUUUCGUGUGAACAGUGGUUGAUCACGAGUUAGUCGGUCCUAAGUUCAAGGCGAAAGCCGAAAAUUUUCCAGUAACACAAAAAUGCCUAACUAUAUAAACAAAGCGAAUAUAAUACACUUGAAUAAUUUUGAACGAAAGGGAAUACGGUUCCCAAUUCGUAACCUGUUGAGUAUCCGUUUGUUAUUAAAUAUGGGCCUCGUGCUCAUCCUGGCAACAGGAACGACCAUAAAGAGGCCGUCGAGAGAUAUCGGAAGAGUUUUCUUUUCUGUUUUAUAGCCGUACUACCAUGGAAGUCUUUCGCAGAGAGAUAUGGUAGAUGGGCUAGAAGAGCAUGACAUAUACUGUUGUGUCGAUAUUUUCUCCUCGGACCUUGAAAAUUUAUGGUGGGGACACGCAAACUUCUCAACAGGCCGUACCAAUAUCCGCAGCUGGUCUCCAAGGUGAAGAGUCUCUAGUCGAUAGAAUAAUGUAGGUAAGGGAAGUCGGCAAAUUAGAUCCGUAACUUCGGGAUAAGGAUUGGCUCUGAAGAUUGAGAUAGUCGGGCUUGAUUGGGAAACAAUAACAUGGUUUUAUGUGCUCGUUCUGGGUAAAUAGAGUUUCUAGCAUUUAUGUUAGUUACUUGUUCCCCGGAUAGAUUAGUUACGUAGCCAAUUGUGGAACUUUCUUGCUAAAAUUUUAAGAAUACUAUUUGGGUUAAACCAAUUAGUUCUUAUCAAUUAUAACGAUUAUCAAUUAACAAUCAAUUCAGAACUGGCACGGACUUGGGGAAUCCGACUGUCUAAUUAAAACAAAGCAUUGUGAUGGCCCUAGCGGGUGUUGACACAAUGUGAUUUCUGCCCAGUGCUCUGAAUGUCAAAGUGAAGAAAUUCAAGUAAGCGCGGGUCAACGGCGGGAGUAACUAUGACUCUCUUAAGGUAGCCAAAUGCCUCGUCAUCUAAUUAGUGACGCGCAUGAAUGGAUUAACGAGAUUCCUACUGUCCCUAUCUACUAUCUAGCGAAACCACAGCCAAGGGAACGGGCUUGGAAUAAUUAGCGGGGAAAGAAGACCCUUUUGAGCUUGACUCUAAUCUGGCAGUGUAAGGAGACAUAAGAGGUGUAGAAUAAGUGGGAGAUAUUAGACCUCGGUUUGGUAUCGUCAAUGAAAUACCACUACUCUUAUUGUUUCCUUACUUACUUGAUUAAAUGGAACGUGUAUCAUUUCCUAGCCAUUAUACGGAUAUAUUUAUUAUAUCUUAUGGUAUUGGGUUUUGAUGCAAGCUUCUUGAUCAAAGUAUCACGAGUUUGUUAUAUAAUCGCAAACAAAUUCUUUAAUAAAACGAUGCAUUUAUGUAUUUUUGAUUUGAAAAUUUGGUAUAACUCCAAUUACUCAGGUAUGAUCCAAUUCAAGGACAUUGCCAGGUAGGGAGUUUGACUGGGGCGGUACAUCUCUCAAAUAAUAACGGAGGUGUCCCAAGGCCAGCUCAGUGCGGACAGAAACCACACAUAGAGCAAAAGGGCAAAUGCUGACUUGAUCUCGGUGUUCAGUACACACAGGGACAGCAAAAGCUCGGCCUAUCGAUCCUUUUGGUUUAAAGAGUUUUUAACAAGAGGUGUCAGAAAAGUUACCAUAGGGAUAACUGGCUUGUGGCGGCCAAGCGUUCAUAGCGACGUCGCUUUUUGAUCCUUCGAUGUCGGCUCUUCCUAUCAUUGUGAAGCAAAAUUCACCAAGCGUUGGAUUGUUCACCCAUGCAAGGGAACGUGAGCUGGGUUUAGACCGUCGUGAGACAGGUUAGUUUUACCCUACUAAUGACAAAACGUUGUUGCGACAGCAUUCCUGCGUAGUACGAGAGGAACCGCAGGUACGGACCAAUGGCACAAUACUUGUUCGAGCGAACAGUGGUAUGACGCUACGUCCGUUGGAUUAUGCCUGAACGCCUCUAAGGUCGUAUCCGUGCUGGACAGCAAUGAUAAAUAAGGGGCAAUUUGCAUUGU
rnacentral:rRNA from 1 species